rnacentral:rRNA from 1 species
AAACUUAAAGGAAUUGACGGGGACCCGCACAAGCGGUGGAUGAUGUGGUUUAAUUCGAUGCAACGCGAAAACCUUACCCACCUUUGACAUGUACGGAAUCCUGCAGAGACGCAGGAGUGCUCGAAAGAGAGCCGUAACACAGGUGCUGCAUGGCUGUCGUCAGCUCGUGUCGUGAGAUGUUGGGUUAAGUCCCGCAACGAGCGCAACCCUUGCCAUUAGUUGCUACGAAAGGGCACUCUAAUGGGACUGCCGGUGACAAACCGGAGGAAGGUGGGGAUGACGUCAAGUCCUCAUGGCCCUUAUAGGUGGGGCUACACACGUCAUACAAUGGCUGGUACAAAGGGUUGCCAACCCGCGAGGGGGAGCCAAUCCCAUAAAGCCAGUCGUAGUCCGGAUCGCAGUCUGCAACUCGACUGCGUGAAGUCGGAAUCGCUAGUAAUCGUGGAUCAGCAUGUCACGGUGAAUACGUUCCCGGGUCUUGUACACACCGCCCGUCACACCAUGGGAGCGGGUUCUGCCAGAAGUAGUUAGCCUAACCGCAAGGAGGGCGAUUACCACGGCAGGGUUCGUGACUGGGGUGAAGUCGUAACAAGGUAGCCGUAUCGGAAGGUGCGGCUGGAUCACCUCCUUUAUG